AUUGAACGCUGGCGGCAGGCCUAACACAUGCCAGUCGAACGGUAACAGGAAGAAGCUUGCUUCUUUGCUGACGAGUGGCGGACGGGUGAGUAAUGUCUGGGAAACUGCCUGAUGGAGGGGGAUAACUACUGGAAACGGUAGCUAAUACCGCAUAACGUCGCAAGACCAAAGAGGGGGACCUUCGGGCCUCUUGCCAUCGGCUGUGCCCAGAUGGGAUUAGCUAGUAGGUGGGGUAACGGCUCACCUAGGCGACGAUCCCUAGCUGGUCUGAGAGGAUGACCAGCCACACUGGAACUGAGACACGGUCCAGACUCCUACGGGAGGCAGCAGUGGGGAAUAUUGCACAAUGGGCGCAAGCCUGAUGCAGCCAUGCCGCGUGUAUGAAGAAGGCCUUCGGGUUGUAAAGUACUUUCAGCGGGGAGGAAGGGAGUAAAGUUAAUACCUUUGCUCAUUGACGUUACCCGCAGAGGAAGCACCGGCUAACUCCGUG
rnacentral:rRNA from 1 species